UUCUCUCUGUCUUCCACCAUAGAGUCGUUUCUUUAUUGGAAUCGUUUGGAAGAUUUUGAUUUCAAAUCCGAUCAUCGCUUCCCAAUUUAAUACGUGCGAGUUCUGUUUUGUUGUGUUGCAGCCAUGGAACACAGUAAGCCGCGCUCUAGUGUGGCUAUAUUUUACAUUGAAAAUGCCCUGUAAAACUACAACCCACCAUUGAAUCAAAAAUAAAACGUUCCUCUUAUUCGUGAACUAAGCAUGUGACCCAUUUCAACUCCAGCCCUCAAUCGAGAAUCGAUAAGAACCGAAAUUGGAAUCAGAAUCGGUAAAAUCCAAACGAUGCCCAACC